rnacentral:rRNA from 1 species
GUCUAUGGCCAUGCCACCCUGAACACGCCCAAUCCCGUCUGAUCUCGGAAGCUAAACAGGGUCGGGCCUGGUUAGUACUUGGAUGGGAGACCACCUAGGAAGACCAGGUGCUGUAGGCA